GUUUUCUCUCUAGUUAUUACUACUCGAACUCUCUAGUACUACCUGUACUCUGUACUACUCAGCUUGCCAUCAAACUUGAUUAGGAGGAAGCUAGUUAUUACUAGUAGUACUAGUGAUUCGUGUUCUUGAACUAAUUCAGUUACUAGUGAUUAGUGUCCUCUGGAGUUACUAUUUUCCUCCGACCAUGGAUUAGAACAUACGAUUAGAACGGUCGUUUCAGUUUCAGUUCGUCUCCGCUCUUUCUUUGGAUCCAGAUCACGAUUCCUAACUCCUCAGGUUCUUGCAUGCAUUUAGUAAACCGCUGCCUCAGUUCCCUCUCACAGCGAGCAGGCUCAGCCGCUGCCUCUGUUCCCUCUCUUGUUUUAUUUGGCAAAUUGAAUAGGUUGCCUGCUACUUCAUAUAUAGAACAACAGUUCCAUUGUUUAAUGUUUAUUGUCCUUCAAAUAUUUUAGUAUUAGUUCAUAUUAAAUUAGCAGGUCCAUUAGUAGGCUUUGAUUCUUUUAUCUGCUAGCAGGUUCAUCCGAGUACUGUUGAUUGCCCAUGAUUGGAUAGCUAGAAUACAGGCACUGUCCAAAGGCGAUAACUCUACCAUGAGCAAUGUCUUAACUUGAGGAGGACAAUAAGCAACAAGUGAUAUUAAACAACAGGCUCAAAUGGAGACUUAUGUUGCUGAACCAACAAAAGAAGGCAAAGGUUCGAACACUCCUCUCCAAGCUAUAGCUCAUGUUCUGCAGAAAUCAACGUUUCUUUGCAAUGUCGGCCUGCAGUCCAGAGAGAUGUGCUGCUACUGCCGUGGGUGUUGUGCUGUUGCUACAGUUGUGUUGCUAUUGCACUUAUGUUCCAGCAAGUUGAAAUUUGAGACUUGAGACUUAUCUGAUGUGUAAUGAAUUUGUGGAUGAAUGUAAUGGUAUUGAAUUUGAAUCUGAUUUGGUAUGUGUUGAAAAAUGAUAUGGAUAUAAUUGCAUAUGAUGAAAUAUUGUGUA